CAAUCAGUAUCGUUUAUUUGAUAGUACCCUUACUACUUGGAUAACCGUGGUAAUCUAGAGCUAAUACAUGCUGAAAACCCCUGACUUCGGAAAGGGUGUAUUUAUUAGAUAAAAAACCAAUGCCCUUUGGGCUCUUUGGUGAUUCAUGAUAACUUAACGGAUCGCAUGGCCUUGCGCCGGCGACGGUUCAUUCAAAUUUCUGCCCUAUCAACUUUCGAUGGUAAGGUAUUGGCUUACCAUGGUUUCAACGGGUAACGGGGAAUUAGGGUUCGAUUCCGGAGAGGGAGCCUGAGAAACGGCUACCACAUCCAAGGAAGGCAGCAGGCGCGCAAAUUACCCAAUCCCGACACGGGGAGGUAGUGACAAUAAAUACUGAUACAGGGCUCUUUUGGGUCUUGUAAUCGGAAUGAGUACAAUUUAAACCUCUUAACGAGGAACAAUUGGAGGGCAAGUCUGGUGCCAGCAGCCGCGGUAAUUCCAGCUCCAAUAGCGUAUAUUAAAGUUGUUGCAGUUAAAAAGCUCGUAGUUGAAUCUUGGGCCUGGCUGGCCGGUCCGCCUCACCGCGUGUACUGGUCUGGCCGGGCCUUUCCUUCUGGAGAACCUCAUGCCCUUCAGUGGGUGUGUUGGGGAACCAGGACUUUUACUUUGAAAAAAUUAGAGUGUUCAAAGCAGGCCUUUGCUCGAAUACGUUAGCAUGGAAUAAUAGAAUAGGACGUGCGGUCCUAUUUUGUUGGUUUCUAGGACCGCCGUAAUGAUUAAUAGGGAUAGUCGGGGGCAUCAGUAUUCAAUUGUCAGAGGUGAAAUUCUUGGAUUUAUUGAAGACUAACUACUGCGAAAGCAUUUGCCAAGGAUGUUUUCAUUAAUCAGUGAACGAAAGUUAGGGGAUCGAAGACGAUCAGAUACCGUCGUAGUCUUAACCGUAAACUAUGCCGACUAGGGAUCGGGCGAUGUUUCUAUCUUGACUCGCUCGGCAC
rnacentral:rRNA from 1 species